AACGAACGCUGGCGGCAUGCCUAACACAUGCAAGUCGAACGAGACCUUCGGGUCUAGUGGCGCACGGGUGCGUAACGCGUGGGAACCUGCCCUUAGGUUCGGAAUAACUCCCCGAAAGGGGUGCUAAUACCGGAUAAUGUCUUCGGACCAAAGAUUUAUCGCCUUUGGAUGGGCCCGCGUUGGAUUAGCUAGUUGGUAGGGUAAAAGCCUACCAAGGCGACGAUCCAUAGCUGGUCUGAGAGGAUGAUCAGCCACACUGGGACUGAGACACGGCCCAGACUCCUACGGGAGGCAGCAGUGGGGAAUAUUGGACAAUGGGCGAAAGCCUGAGCCAGCAAUGCCGCGUGAGUGAUGAAGGCCUUAGGGUUAAAGCUCUUUUACCCGGGAUGAUAAUGACAGUACCGGGAGAAUAAGCUCCGGCUAACUCCGUG
rnacentral:rRNA from 1 species